rnacentral:lncRNA from 1 species
UGCGAAGCAUUUUGGAACGAAAUCCUUGCUGCGGAUUAUUGCUGGUUCAACACAAUAGUCCCGCUUUUCAGGAGAAAUCUGCUUCAAAGUUCAGGUGUGUGUGCAUGAUUGUUGAGAUUCAGCUUAACAUUAUUGUUUCCUUCUAUCUUACCGAAUACUCUGUUGCUUAAUCUUUAAUUCCGUAGCGUAGAGUAUAGCUUGCCAGUACUUUUAAAGAUCUCAUAUAUUAUACCUUCAACUUUAGCUGGGUGCUUUUAUUUAUCUCUUAGGUGUGGAGUCAACUGCCUGUCUUCCCUGGUCUAUCUCAGAUUGCUUCUUCUUUUUCGAUAGGAAAGAUCAUUUUAUUUAAUAAAUUUACACUAAUGUCAAAAAUACAUCAAAUCAAAUAUAAAACAAAUACAUACAAAUUUGAAAUCAAUAAACAAUAGAUCUGAAAAAUCACUACAGAUUUGAAGUUGGGCCAUUAUGCGGGAUUCGGGACUAUAAUUGUAGUCGCGAGCAUUGACUUAAUCUGUGUUGCUCAAAUUUGUCUUUCAAAAUAAAAAGAAAAAAACUAAAAUUUGAAAUGAGCAGUAUAGAUUGGUGCAAUUAUAUUCCUUGUAAAUACAACAUGCAUAUGUCUUUACGUAUCUGGAUACUGGGAAUAAUCUCACCGCAGGAUCUUGAUGCAAGAUUUUGCAAUAACAUCUAUUUACACUUUGGCUUGAUUCCACUUUAUGAAUCUGAUAUUUAUUUACGGAAUGUUUAAUCUGGAAUGCUUCAGACCUUUAUAUUUUGAAACCAGGCCGUCUGUAGGAGAUUUCUGGAAUAAUGGCUGUUAAAAAAUCAAAUGGAGUGGAACGGACACUAUUUAAUUCCUCUGUAUAGCUUAACCUUUUGCAUCAGGUGUUUAAGGGAUUUUACAGGCAGCUGGUGCAAUUUCAAAGAACAAUUAGGAGUUUGCAUUGGACUGCUAUUUUUACGUUGUCAGAUCAGGGCGUUUAUUUCAAAAAAAAAAUAUUCUUUUUAUUUUUUGAGAACUGAAAUUUUGGGAUCCAAAUCUGGGCUAUACUGGCUAUGACUUGAUUUGGCAGACUUGCAAAUUAGCCUCUAUAGACGCACUUGAUUCGGAGUUCUUUGAGCCAAACCCACUUAAAAUACUUAUUUUUUUUAUUACUUUUUAUGGUGAAAUUUUCUAUAUUAUCCAUUUUGAAAAAAAUACUAAAGUUACGUCUUAUUCUUAUACAAAUUUAAUUAAGCCCGAGCUUCAGCUCAAAUUUAAUUACAUUUAGAUUCAAGAAUGAGUUUGAGCUGGAACUUUACUAGAGAUCCUUAGUUAUUCGAUUUCGAGUUUGACCUUAAUAAACCUAAGUUGAGCUUUGGUCAACUAAGGCAAAACUUGACUCCAAUUUGCAUAUUUGUAGUCCUGGCUAUCGGUCAUUUACCAAAUUAAUUCUUUUUUUUUUUUGUCAUAGUUCUACAAUUAGUCCAACAUGUUGCAAUCUUACAAAAUAGAGGUUUCGAGCUAUUUCAAUCGGCAGAAGGGACAAAAGGCACCCGUAUAAUGCUAAGAGUCAUGGCUGAUGCUAUUGGAUUAGCAGCUGCUAUGGCUACUCUUCUCGAGUUUUCGUUCCAAUCAGCAAUAUUUAACCGAUUAGUUUUCUGAUUUUGUCCUCUACAAUCCUUCCACCAACCUGGAUAUCCAUGCAACUUGAAACAAGUGUCACGGUAUGUUUUUAUUCCCGCAAUAAGUGCAACAAUCUCCUUUGGCUGGCGCUACAGUUUAACUUAACAUAAUUGGCCUACUUUUCACUUCCUUGGAAGCCAUUUUAAAGCCAAUCGUGUUGUCUUCCUCUGUCAAUAUCACCAAUUAUCUAUUGUUUUGUGUCAAACAUAAGCAUAUGCCUCCUCUACCAUCGGAAAUGGUUUUAGUUGCAAUAUUUUACUGUGAAUCUUGUCCAAGUGGUCAUCUAACCCAUCAGGGAAAAUGUAUACUUUCUUUUCUUGUAUGAGAGAGUUAUAUGUAUUGAUAUUGACAGUACACUCUAUUGGAUUAGGCCAACAAAAAUUUAAUCUCCCUUCACAAGCCUUGAAGGUGGUUGUAGUGCUUCUCAA